rnacentral:rRNA from 1 species
CCUACGGGUGGCAGCAGUGGGGAAUAUUGCACAAUGGGGGAAACCCUGAUGCAGCGACGCCGCGUGAGUGAAGAAGGAUUUCGGUAGGUAAAGCUCUAUCAGCAGGGAAGAAAAGGACGGUACCUGACGAAGAAGCCCCGGCGAACUACGUGCCAGCAGACGCGGUAAUACGUAGGGGGCAAGCGUUAUCCGGAUUUACGGGGUGUAAAGGGAGCGUAGCCGGCCAGACAAGGCAGAAGUGAAAGCCCAGGGCUCAACUCUGGGACGGCUUUUGAAACUGCCGGGCUGGAGUGCAGGAGAGGUAAGCGGCAUUCCUCGUGUAGCGGUGUACUUCGUAGAUAUUAGGAG